GCUACUACGUGCAGCAGCGCGGUAAUACGUAGGGUGCGAGCGUUAAUCGGAAUUACUGGGCGUAAAGCGUGCGCAGGCGGUUUUUUAAGACAGGCGUGAAAUCCCCCGGGCUCAACCUGGGAACUGCGCUUGUGACUGCAAGGGCUAGAGUAUGGCAGAGGGGGGUGGAAUUUCCACGUGUAGCAGUGAAAUGCGUAGAGAUGUGGAGGAACACCAAUGGCGAAGGCAGCCCCCUGGGCCAAUACUGACGCUCAUGCACGAAAGCGUGGGUGGCAAACAGGAUUAGAUACCCUGGUAGUCCACGCCCUAAACGAUGUCAACUAGGUGUUGGGUGGGUAAAACCAUUUAGUACCGUAGCUAACGCGUGAAGUUGACCGCCUGGGGAGUACGGCCGCAAGGUUAAAACUCAAAGGAAUUGACGGGGACCCGCACAAGCGGUGGAUGAUGUGGAUUAAUUCGAUGCAACGCGAAAAACCUUACCUACCCUUGACAUGUCUGGAAUCCUGAAGAGAUUUGGGAGUGCCCGAAAGGGAACCGGAACACAGGUGCUGCAUGGCUGUCGUCAGCUCGUGUCGUGAGAUGUUGGGUUAAGUCCCGCAACGAGCGCAACCCUUGUCGUUAAUUGCCAUCAUUUAGUUGGGCACUUUAACGAGACUGCCGGUGACAAACCGGAGGAAGGUGGGGAUGACGUCAAGUCCUCAUGGCCCUUAUGGGUAGGGCUUCACACGUCAUACAAUGGUCGGUACAGAGGGUUGCCAAGCCGCGAGGUGGAGCCAAUCCCAGAAAGCCGAUCGUAGUCCGGAUCGUAGUCUGCAACUCGACUGCGUGAAGUCGGAAUCGCUAGUAAUCGCGGAUCAGCAUGUCGCGGUGAAUACGUUCCCGGGUCUUGUACACACCGCCCGUCACACCAUGGGAGCGGGUUCCGCCAGAAGUAGGUAGCCUAACCGCAAGGAGGGCGCUUACCACGGCGGGGUUCGUGACUGGGGUGAAGUCGUAACAAGGUAACCAAUC
rnacentral:rRNA from 1 species